rnacentral:rRNA from 1 species
GAUGAACGCUAGCGGCAGGCUUAAUACAUGCAAGUCGAGGGGUAGCAAGAUUGUAGCAAUACAAUUGUUGACGACCGGCAAACGGGUGCGGAACACGUACACAACCUUCCUACAAGUGGGGAAUAGCCCAGAGAAAUUUGGAUUAAUACCCCGUAACAUAGCGAUGUGGCAUCACAUUGCUAUUAUAGCUUCGGCGCUUGUUGAUGGGUGUGCGGCUGAUUAGAUAGUUGGCGGGGUAACGGCCCACCAAGUCUACGAUCAGUAGCCGAUGUGAGAGCAUGAUCAGCCACACGGGCACUGAGACACGGGCCCGACUCCUACGGGAGGCAGCAGUAAGGAAUAUUGGACAAUGGACGCAAGUCUGACCCAGCCAUGCCGCGUGAAGGAUUAAGGUCCUCUGGAUUGUAAACUUCUUUUAUAAGGGACGAAAAAAGGUCUUUCUAGAUCGUCUGACGGUACCUUAUGAAUAAGCACCGGCUAACUCCGUGCCAGCCGCCGCGGUAAAAC